rnacentral:tRNA from 1 species
GCAGGUAUAGUUCAUCGGUAGAAUAUCAGCCUUCCAAGCUGAGGAGGUGGGUUCGAUUCCCACUACCUGCCC